rnacentral:piRNA from 1 species
UUCCCUAGACCGCGAGGCAGGACGGAGG